rnacentral:rRNA from 1 species
AAUCAACGCUGGCGGCGUGCCUAACACAUGCAAGUCGAACGAGAAAGUGGAGCAAUCCAUGAGUAAAGUGGCGCACGGGUGAGUAACACGUGACUAACCUACCCUUGAGUGGGGGAUAACCUAGGGAAACCUGGGCUAAUACCGCAUAAUACCUACGGGUCAAAGGAGCAAUUCGCUUUAGGAGGGGGUCGCGGCAGAUUAGUUAGUUGGCGGGGUAAUGGCCCACCAAGACGACGAUCUGAUCCGGCCUGAGAGGGCGCACGGACACACUGGAACUGAAACACGGUCCAGACUCCUACGGGAGGCAGCAGUGGGGAAUUUUGCGCAAUGGGGGAAACCCUGACGCAGCAACGCCGCGUGGAGGAUGAAGACCCUUGGGUCGUAAACUCCUUUCGAUCGGGACGAUAAUGACGGUACCGGAAGAAGAAGCCCCGGCUAACUUCGU